CGCUGGCGGCGUGCUUAACACAUGCAAGUCGAACGGGAUCCAGGCAGCUUGCUGCCUGGUGAGAGUGGCGAACGGGUGAGUAAUGCGUGACCGACCUGCCCCAUACACCGGAAUAGCUCCUGGAAACGGGUGGUAAUGCCGGAUGCUCCGACUCCUCGCAUGGGGUGUCGGGAAAGAUUUCAUCGGUAUGGGAUGGGGUCGCGUCCUAUCAGGUAGUCGGCGGGGUAACGGCCCACCGAGCCUACGACGGGUAGCCGGCCUGAGAGGGCGACCGGCCACAUUGGGACUGAGAUACGGCCCAGACUCCUACGGGAGGCAGCAGUGGGGAAUAUUGCACAAUGGGCGCAAGCCUGAUGCAGCGACGCCGCGUGCGGGAUGACGGCCUUCGGGUUGUAAACCGCUUUUGAUCGGGAGCAAGCCUUCGGGUGAGUGUACCUUUCGAAUAAGCACCGGCUAACUACGUGCCAGCAGCCGCGG
rnacentral:rRNA from 1 species